AGACCCGAAACCCGGUGAUCUAGCCAUGGGCAGGUUGAAGGUUGGGUAACACUAACUGGAGGACCGAACCGACUAAUGUUGAAAAAUUAGCGGAUGACCUGUGGCUGGGGGUGAAAGGCCAAUCAAACCGGGAGAUAGCUGGUUCUCCCCGAAAGCUAUUUAGGUAGCGCCUCGUGAAUUCAUCUCCGGGGGUAGAGCACUGUUUCGGCUAGGGGGCCAUCCCGGCUUACCAACCCGAUGCAAACUGCGAAUACCGGAGAAUGUUAUCACGGGAGACACACGGCGGGUGCUAACGUCCGUCGUGAAGAGGGAAACAACCCAGACCGCCAGCUAAGGUCCCAAAGUCAUGGUUAAGUGGGAAACGAUGUGGGAAGGCCCAGACAGCCAGGAUGUUGGCUUAGAAGCAGCCAUCAUUUAAAGAAAGCGUAAUAGCUCACUGGUCGAGUCGGCCUGCGCGGAAGAUGUAACGGGGCUAAACCAUGCACCGAAGCUGCGGCAGCGACGCUGAUGCGUUGUUGGGUAGGGGAGCGUUCUGUAAGCCUGUGAAGGUGGCCUGUGAGGGUUGCUGGAGGUAUCAGAAGUGCGAAUGCUGACAUAAGUAACGAUAAAGCGGGUGAAAAGCCCGCUCGCCGGAAGACCAAGGGUUCCUGUCCAACGUUAAUCGGGGCAGGGUGAGUCGACCCCUAAGGCGAGGCCGAAAGGCGUAGUCGAUGGGAAACGGGUUAAUAUUCCCGUACUUGGUGUUACUGCGAAGGGGGGACGGAGAAGGCUAUGUUGGCCGGGCGACGGUUGUCCCGGUUUAAGCGUGUAGGUGUGUGUUCCAGGUAAAUCCGGUUCACUUUAACACUGAGGCGUGAUGACGAGGCACUACGGUGCUGAAGCAACAAAUGCCCUGCUUCCAGGAAAAGCCUCUAAGCAUCAGGUAACAUCAAAUCGUACCCCAAACCGACACAGGUGGUCAGGUAGAGAAUACCAAGGCGCUUGAGAGAACUCGGGUGAAGGAACUAGGCAAAAUGGUGCCGUAACUUCGGGAGAAGGCACGCUGACACGUAGGUGAAGUGAUUUACUCACGGAGCUGAAGUCAGUCGAAGAUACCAGCUGGCUGCAACUGUUUAUUAAAAACACAGCACUGUGCAAACACGAAAGUGGACGUAUACGGUGUGACGCCUGCCCGGUGCCGGAAGGUUAAUUGAUGGGGUCAGCGCAAGCGAAGCUCCUGAUCGAAGCCCCGGUAAACGGCGGCCGUAACUAUAACGGUCCUAAGGUAGCGAAAUUCCUUGUCGGGUAAGUUCCGACCUGCACGAAUGGCGUAAUGAUGGCCAGGCUGUCUCCACCCGAGACUCAGUGAAAUUGAACUCGCUGUGAAGAUGCAGUGUACCCGCGGCAAGACGGAAAGACCCCGUGAACCUUUACUAUAGCUUGACACUGAACAUUGAGCCUUGAUGUGUAGGAUAGGUGGGAGGCUUUGAAGUGUGGACGCCAGUCUGCAUGGAGCCGACCUUGAAAUACCACCCUUUAAUGUUUGAUGUUCUAACGUGGACCCGUGAUCCGGGUUGCGGACAGUGUCUGGUGGGUAGUUUGACUGGGGCGGUCUCCUCCUAAAGAGUAACGGAGGAGCACGAAGGUUGGCUAAUCCUGGUCGGACAUCAGGAGGUUAGUGCAAUGGCAUAAGCCAGCUUGACUGCGAGCGUGACGGCGCGAGCAGGUGCGAAAGCAGGUCAUAGUGAUCCGGUGGUUCUGAAUGGAAGGGCCAUCGCUCAACGGAUAAAAGGUACUCCGGGGAUAACAGGCUGAUACCGCCCAAGAGUUCAUAUCGACGGCGGUGUUUGGCACCUCGAUGUCGGCUCAUCACAUCCUGGGGCUGAAGUAGGUCCCAAGGGUAUGGCUGUUCGCCAUUUAAAGUGGUACGCGAGCUGGGUUUAGAACGUCGUGAGACAGUUCGGUCCCUAUCUGCCGUGGGCGCUGGAGAACUGAGGGGGGCUGCUCCUAGUACGAGAGGACCGGAGUGGACGCAUCACUGGUGUUCGGGUUGUCAUGCCAAUGGCACUGCCCGGUAGCUAAAUGCGGAAGAGAUAAGUGCUGAAAGCAUCUAAGCACGAAACUUGCCCCGA
rnacentral:rRNA from 2 species